UCUGCCCCUAGAGGCUUUGCAAGUGUGGCUGCUGUGUCACAUGGGCGUCAGUAGGUGGCAGAGAGAAGAGGCUAUGUCUAUGCUCAGUGUUCUGACAUUUAGACGUCUGAAUGACAUCAGGGCUCUAACA